CCUACGGGUGGCUGCAGUGGGGAAUCUUGCGCAAUGGGCGAAAGCCUGACGCAGCAACGCCGCGUGAGUGAAGAAGGCCUUCGGGUCGUAAAGCUCUGUCGAAGGGAACGAAACGUAUUAGGGUAAAUAAUCCUAGUAUUUGACGGUACCCUUAAAGGAAGCACCGGCUAACCACGUGCCAGCAGCCGCGGUAAUACGUGGGGUGCAAGCGUUGUUCGGAAUUACUGGGCGUAAAGCGCGUGUAGGCGGCGAAAGCCCUCGGCUGAACCGAGGAAGUGCGCCUGAAACUAUUUGGCUUGAGUACGGGAGAGGAGGGUGGAAUUCCCAGUGUAGAGGUGAAAUUCGUAGAUAUUGGGAGGAACACCGGUGGCGAAAGCGGCUCUCUGGACCGUAACUGACGCUAAGACGCGAAAGCGUGGGGAUCAAACAGGAUUAGAUACCCCGGUAGUC
rnacentral:rRNA from 1 species